rnacentral:piRNA from 1 species
UACUAGGCUGACUGUGGUCUAUAAAAC